rnacentral:rRNA from 1 species
UACGUAGGGUGCAAGCGUUAAUCGGAAUUACUGGGCGUAAAGCGUGCGCAGGCGGUUUUGUAAGCCAGAUGUGAAAUCCCCGGGCUUAACCUGGGAAUGGCAUUUGGGGACUGCAAGGCUGGAGUACGGCAGAGGAGACUGGAAUUCCUGGUGUAGCAGUGAAAUGCGUAGAGAUCAGGAGGAAUACCGAUGGCGAAGGCAGGUCUCUGGGCUGAUACUGACGCUCAUGCACGAAAGCGUGGGGAGCAAACAGG